GACGAACGCUGGCGGCGUGCCUAACACGUGCAAGUCGAACGGGGUAGUUUCUUCGGGGACUACUUAGUGGCGAACGGGUGAGUAACGCGUGAGGAACCUGCCUUUCAGUGGGGGACAACAGUUGGAAACGACUGCUAAUACCGCAUAAUAUGUACGGAUCGCAUGGUCUGUACAUCAAAGAUUUAUUGCUGAAAGAUGGCCUCGCGUCUGAUUAGCUAGUUGGUGGGGUAACGGCCCACCAAGGCGACGAUCAGUAGCCGGUCUGAGAGGAUGAACGGCCACAUUGGGACUGAGAUACGGCCCAGACUCCUACGGGAGGCAGCAGUGGGGAAUAUUGGGCAAUGGGGGAAACCCUGACCCGGCAACGCCGCGUGAAGGAAGAAGGCCUUCGGGUUGUAAACUUCUUUUACCAGGGACGAAGAACGUGACGGUACCUGGAGAAAAAGCAACGGCUAACUACGUGCCAGCCGCCGCCGUAACAC
rnacentral:rRNA from 1 species